rnacentral:rRNA from 1 species
AGCGAACGCUGGCGGCAGGCCUAACACAUGCAAGUCGAACGCCCCUUCGGGGGAGUGGCAGACGGGUGAGUAACGCGUGGGAACGUGCCCAUCGGUUCGGAACAACCCAGGGAAACUUGGGCUAAGACCGGAUACGUGCGAGAGCAGAAAGAUUUAUCGCCGAUGGAUCGGCCCGCGUCUGAUUAGCUUGUUGGUGGGGUAACGGCACACCAAGGCGACGAUCAGUAGCUGGUCUGAGAGGAUGAUCAGCCACACUGGGACUGAGACACGGCCCAGACUCCUACGGGAGGCAGCAGUGGGGAAUAUUGGACAAUGGGCGCAAGCCUGAUCUAGCCAUGCCGCGUGAGUGAUGACGGCCCUAGGGUUGUAAAGCUCUUUCGCACGCGACGAUAAUGACGGUAGCGUGAGAAGAAGCCCCGGCUAACUUCGUGCCAGCCGCCGCAGUAAUAC